rnacentral:rRNA from 1 species
UACGAAGGGGGCUAGCGUUGUUCGGAAUUACUGGGCGUAAAGGGUUUGUAGGUGGCCACUUAAGUCAGACGUGAAAUCCCUCAGCUUAACUGGGGAACUGCGUCUGAUACUGAGUGGCUUGAGUGCAGGAGAGGAACGCGGAAUUCCAGGUGUAGCGGUGAAAUGCGCAGAGUAUCAGGAGGAACACCGGUGGCGAAGGCGGAUCUCUGGGCCAUUACUGACGCUGAGGAGCGAAAGCGUGGGGAGCGAACAGG